rnacentral:rRNA from 1 species
CUGGCUCAGAACGAACGCUGGCGGCAGGCCUAAAACAUGCAAGUUGAACGGCUAUAGCAAUAUAGCAGUAGCGCAAGGGUGAGUAAUGUAUGGGAACGUAUCUUUUGGUGGGGAAUAUUCUUUGGAAACGAAGAGCGAUACCGCAUAAGCCCUACGGGGGAAAGAUUUAUCGCCGAUUGAGCGGCCCAUAUUGGAUUAGCUAGUUGGUUAGGUAACGGCUGACCAAGGCUGUGAUCCAUAGCUGGUCUGAGAGGACGAUCAGCCACACUGGGACUGAGACACGGCCCAGACUCCUACGGGAGGCAGCAGUUAGGAAUAUUGGACAAUGGGGGCAACCCUGAUCCAAGCCAUGCCGCGUGAGUGUUAAGGCCUUCGGGUUGUAAAGCUCUUUUGUAUGGGAAAAUGAUGAUGGUACCAUAAGAAUAAGCACCGGCUAACUUCGUGCCAGCAGCGGC